ACACGCUAGAUGGGGAACUAGCGGUGCCCUGUGACCCGCAAUCCGCUACAGCGGGGUCGAACACCCACCGAGGCUUUUCGGUGCGGGGGAUGCAGUCCGGCAAGUAGUGUUGAAGGUCAGGUCCCGCGCAAUCGGGUCCGGUGAACCCGGUCAGGGCCGGAAGGCAGCAGCCGUAAGCCGGUAACACGAUGUGCCGUGGGGAAGCUUGACUCGAGCCAACUGCUGGUCUACGCUUCCGUCCCGUGGGUCGGAGUGGAUGCGUGU
rnacentral:SRP_RNA from 1 species